ACAAUGAGUAAAUUAUUAUUAUUGCUCUUAAGAAUACAAAAUCAAGCAUAAGCUUAUUCUACAGUUGUGCAUGUACUAUAAGUAUCAAAAGGAAAAUAAAUGAUUGCUACACACAUGAUUUU